AUUGAACGCUGGCGGCAUGCCUUACACAUGCAAGUCGAACGGUAACAGGUCUUCGGAUGCUGACGAGUGGCGAACGGGUGAGUAAUACAUCGGAACGUGCCCGAUCGUGGGGGAUAACGAGGCGAAAGCUUUGCUAAUACCGCAUACGAUCUACGGAUGAAAGCGGGGGAUCUUCGGACCUCGCGCGGACGGAGCGGCCGAUGGCAGAUUAGGUAGUUGGUGGGAUAAAAGCUUACCAAGCCGACGAUCUGUAGCUGGUCUGAGAGGAUGAUCAGCCACACUGGGACUGAGACACGGCCCAGACUCCUACGGGAGGCAGCAGUGGGGAAUUUUGGACAAUGGGCGAAGGCCUGAUCCAGCCAUGCCGCGUGCAGGAUGAAGGCCUUCGGGUUGUAAACUGCUUUUGUACGGAACGAAAAGCCUCUUUCUAAUAAAGAGGGGUCAUGACGGUACCGUAAGAAUAAGCACCGGCUAACUACGUG
rnacentral:rRNA from 1 species